rnacentral:rRNA from 1 species
GACGUAGGGGGCAAGCGUUGUUCGGAAUUAUUGGGCGUAAAGCGCUCGUAGGCGGGACAGGAAGUUCGUGUUGAAAGACCUCGGCUCAACUGAGGGACCGGCUCGAAUACUCUUGUUCUUGAGGCAAUCAGAGGGUGAUGGAAUUCCCGGUGUAGCGGUGAAAUGCGUAGAUAUCGGGAAGAACACCCGUGGCGAAGGCGGCUCUCUGGGACGGUACUGACGCUGAGACGCGAAAGCGUGGGGAGCGAACAGG